rnacentral:rRNA from 1 species
CGGCACCUCAAGUGGUCAGGAUGAUUAUUGGGCCUAAAGCAUCCGUAGCCGGCUCUGUAAGUUUUCGGUUAAAUCUGUACGCUUAACGUACAGGCUGCCGGGAAUACUGCAGAGCUAGGGAGUGGGAGAGGUAGACGGUACUCGGUAGGAAGGGGUAAAAUCCUUUGAUCUAUUGAUGACCACCUGUGGCGAAGGCGGUCUACCAGAACACGUCCGACGGUGAGGGAUGAAAGCUGGGGGAGCAAACCGGAUUAGACACCCGAGUAGUCC